GCCAGCAUGGCACAGUGGUUUGAGCAUAGGAUUAUAACUAUGGAGACCAGGGUUCAAUUCCCUCUUGGCC